rnacentral:rRNA from 1 species
GAUGAACGCUAGCGGGAGGCUUAAUACAUGCAAGUCGAGCGGUAACUAUGAGUAGCAAUACGAGUAGCUAGAGCGGCGCACGGGUGAGUAACGCGUACAUGACCUGCCCUUUACUGGGGGAUAGCCUCGGGAAACUGAGAUUAAUACCCCAUGGUAUUAUUAUGCUGCAUGGUGUGAUAAUUAAAGCUGAGGCGGUAAAGGAUGGGUGUGCGUCUGAUUAGCUAGUUGGAAAGGUAACGGCUUACCAAGGCGAUGAUCAGUAGGGGGCGUGAGAGCGUGAACCCCCCACACGGGGUACUGAGACACGGACCCGACUCCUACGGGAGGCAGCAGUAAGGAAUAUUGGUCAAUGGAGGAAACUCUGAACCAGCCAUCCCGCGUGAAGGAUGAAGGGGCUCUGCCUUGUAAACUUCUUUUGAAUGGGACGAAAAAGGGGAUUUAUCCUCGACUGACGGUACCAUUAGAAUAAGCACCGGCUAACUCCGUGCCAGCAGCCGCGGUAAAGUAUCG